CACGAAAGCAGGUUUGCGGAUUUCACUUUAAUCUGCAGUGCCACCUUGUGGUUAUCAAUAAAGACCGCACCCAGGGCAGGAAGAGGCUAUGUAACUGUAGUUCACAUUCAAAUGUGGCCAAGGAAGGAUGAUGCAAGCAUGUGCUUUCUUUCCCUGUAGCUGGGCCCGAAUGAGGGGAAUGGAAGAGUUUUAUUUCCAAGACCUGGAUAGAAGAUUUUUGAUUCCAAAUGUAUCAAACAACAUUGACCAUCACAGUCAGUACAGUUUCAUCACUACCAUUUUUGAGCAGCACCUUCACAUGUGCAGAGUGAGUCUGACCACCCAGUCCAUGAUUGUUAGAUCUGUGCAGUCAGGUCCAGAACUGGUAACACCAUUGUACAUAUCAUCAAACUAUGUCUCAAGGCUCCUGUUUCCUCAGAUAUUGUUAUUCCUCAGAAGAGUGGAUGGUUAUCUAUAUGUUUUACUUAUUAUGUACUUGCCUGCCCAUGCUUUAUUUCUUACCUUCAUUUUCCAAUUAUUCUGA
rnacentral:lncRNA from 1 species